rnacentral:rRNA from 1 species
UACGGAGGGUGCGAACGUUGCUCGGAAUUAUUGGGCGUAAAGCGAACGUAGGCGGUCCCACAAGUCGGGAGUGAAAGCCCUCGGCUUAACCGAGGAAGUGCUUUCGAAACUGUGGGACUUGAGUAUGAAAGAGGGUCGCGGAAUUCCCGGUGUAGAGGUGAAAUUCGUAGAUAUCGGGAGGAACACCAGUGGCGAAGGCGGCGACCUGGUUCAAUACUGACGCUGAGGUUCGAAAGCGUGGGGAGCAAACAGG